UACGUAGGGGGCAAGCGUUAUCCGGAUUUACUGGGUGUAAAGGGAGCGUAGACGGCACGGCAAGCCAGAUGUGAAAGCCCGGGGCUCAACCCCGGGACUGCAUUUGGAACUGCUGAGCUAGAGUGUCGGAGAGGCAAGUGGAAUUCCUAGUGUAGCGGUGAAAUGCGUAGAUAUUAGGAGGAACACCAGUGGCGUAGGCGGCUUGCUGGACGAUGACUGACGUUGAGGCUCGAAAGCGUGGGGAGCAAACAGG
rnacentral:rRNA from 1 species